GAUUAGAUACCGUCGUAGUCUUAACUAUAAACUAUGCCGACCAGGGAUAUGAGUUGUUAUGAAUGAUUUUUAAUCAUUCAAUUUCCUCUUGUGGACCUUGUGAGAAAUCAUAAGUUUUUGGGUUCUGGGGGGAGUAUGGUCGCAAGGCUGAAACUUAAAGGAAUUGACGGAGGGGCACCACCAGGAGUGGGGCGUGCGGCUUAAUUUGACUCGACACGGGAAAACUUACCAGGUCCAGACAUUAGAAGGAUUGACAGAUUGAUAGCUCUUUCAUGAUUUAAUGGGUGGUGGUGCAUGGCCGUUCUUAGUUGGUGGAGUGAUUUGUCUGGUUAAUUCCGAUAACGAACGAGACCUUUACCAUACUAAAUAGUUUGAUUUAUUCAUUUAUGAAUAGAUUUAUUUUUAUUAAACUUCUUAGAGGGACUAUUGGUUCUUAAACCAAAGGAAGUAAAGGCGAUAACAGGUCUGUGAUGCCCUUAGAUGUUCUGGGCUGCACGCGCGCUACAAUGAUAAACUCAACGAGUAUUUAAUAUUUAUUUAUUAUAUUGCUGUAUUGGAAAAUAUGGCUAAUCUUAAACGUUUAUCGUGCUUGGGAUAGAUGAUUGCAAUUAUUUAUCUUGAACCAGGAAUUCCUAGUAAUCGUAUAUCAUCAGUGUGCGAUGAUUACGUCCCUGCCCCUUGUACACACCGCCCGUCGCUGCUACCGAUUGGAUGAUCCGGUGAAAUCCUCGGAUAAUGAUAAAUACUUUACUUUUUUGUAAAGUUUAUCGUUAGAAGUUGAUUAAACCUUAUCAUCUAGAGGAAGCAAAAGUCGUAACAAGGUUUCCGUAGGUGAACCUGCAGAAGGAUCA
rnacentral:rRNA from 1 species